rnacentral:rRNA from 1 species
GACGAACGCUGGCGGCGUGCUUAACACAUGCAAGUCGAACGGAAAGGCCCUUCGGGGUCCUCGAGUGGCGAACGGGUGAGUAACACGUGGGUGAUCUGCCCUGCACUUUGGGAUAAGCCUGGGAAACUGGGUCUAAUACCGAAUAGGACCGCGCGCUUCAUGGUGUGUGGUGGAAAGCUUUUGCGGUGUGGGAUGGGCCCGCGGCCUAUCAGCUUGUUGGUGGGGUAAUGGCGUACCAAGGCGACGACGGGUAGCCGGCCUGAGAGGGUGACCGGCCACACUGGGCCUGAGAUACGGACCAGACUCCUACGGGAGGCAGCAGUGGGGAAUAUUGCACAAUGGGCGCAAGCCUGAUGCAGCGACGCCGCGUGAGUGAUGACGGCCUUCGGGUUGUAAACCUCUUUCACCAGGGACGAAGCGCAAGUGACGGUACCUGGAGAAGAAGCACCGGCCAACUACGUG